rnacentral:lncRNA from 1 species
AUACAUGACAUCAUAUAAGAUUUUUCCAGGGCUCUGACAGAAUAUAGAGUACUAAACCAAUGAGAAUAUAAAAUUGUUUCCACUACUUCCAGGUGGAACAGGAAUCUUUCAAUGCAAUAUAUUUUCCGCCUAAAAUGAUUUUCCUAAGUAGAAUCAAGAAGAUAGGAAUUUCUAAGUAAAUCAAAUAUCCUAUUCCCAUAGGCUCGAAUGACGACUCAAGAAAAUUGUGCAUGUUCCGAUCUGAACUUAUAAGGUAUGGUAAUCUGGCGACGGGUCGAAAUGAUGACUCUCAAGAAAAUUGUGCACGGUCUGAUCUGAACUUAUAAGGUAUGAUAAUAAUCUGACGGCUGGGUCGAUGCGAUGAUUAUCAAGUUUAUAUUCUCAUUAUGGGCGAUAGAAGCAACCGGAAUUCACUGCCCUUGAUCGGAAAAACUAUAGAAUACCAAUGAGUUAGCGAACUCUUGAAUUGUUA